rnacentral:rRNA from 1 species
UACAGAGGUCUCAAGCGUUUGUUCGGAUUCAUUGGGCGUAAAGGGUGUGUAGGUGGCGCCGGUAAGUCGGGUGUGAAAUUUCGGAGCUUAACUCCGAAACUGCAUUCGAUACUGCGGUGCUUGAGGACUGGAGAGGAGACUGGAAUUCAUGGUGUAGCAGUGAAAUGCGUAGAGAUCAUGAGGAAGACCAGUGGCGAAGGCGGGUCUCUGGACAGUUCCUGACACUGAGACACGAAGGCCAGGGGAGCAAACGGGG